rnacentral:rRNA from 1 species
UACAGAGACUGCAAGCGUUAUUCGGAUUCACUGGGCGUAAAGGGUGCGCAGGCGGUUGGGUGUGUCAGAUGUGAAAUCCCGAGGCUCAACCUCGGAACUGCGUCUGAAACUACUCGACUAGAGUACUGGAGAGGGUAACGGAAUUCACGGUGUAGCAGUGAAAUGCGUAGAUAUCGUGAGGAACACCAGAGGCGAAGGCGGUUACCUGGACAGUUACUGACACUCAACUGCGAAAGCGUGGGGAGCAAACAGG